CCUACGGGAGGCAGCAGUGAGGAAUAUUGGUCAAUGGGCGAGCGCCUGAACCAGCCAAGUCGCGUGAAGGAAGACGGCCCUAUGGGUUGUAAACUUCUUUUGUCAGGGAGCAAUUGAGUCUACGUGUAGGCUGAGCGAGAGUACCUGAAGAAAAAGCAUCGGCUAACUCCGUGCCAGCAGCCGCGGUAAUACGGAGGAUGCGAGCGUUACCCGGAUUUAUUGGGUUUAAAGGGUGCGUAGGCGGAAUACAAAGUCAGCGGUAAAAAUUCGGGGCUCAACCUCGAUGUGCCGUUGAAACUGGGGUUCUUGAGUGGGCGAGAGGUAUGCGGAAUGCGUGGUGUAGCGGUGAAAUGCAUAGAUAUCACGCAGAACUCCGAUUGCGAAGGCAGCAUACCGGCGCCCAACUGACGCUGAAGCACGAAAGCGUGGGUAUCGAACAGGAUUAGAUACCCGAGUAGUC
rnacentral:rRNA from 1 species